rnacentral:rRNA from 1 species
UACGAAGGGGGCUAGCGUUGCUCGGAAUCACUGGGCGUAAAGCGCACGUAGGCGGCUUCUUAAGUCAGGGGUGAAAUCCUGGAGCUCAACUCCAGAACUGCCUUUGAUACUGAGGAGCUUGAGUCCGGGAGAGGUGAGUGGAAUUCCUGGUGUAGCGGUGAAAUGCGCAGAUAUCAGGAGGAACACCAAUGGCGAAGGCAGCUCGCUGGAACGGUACUGACGCUGAGGCGCGAAAGCGUGGGGAGCGAACAGG